CAGAAGAAGAACGAAGAAGAAGAAGAAGAUACAGGUAUGACGAGAAUCACUUGC
rnacentral:sRNA from 1 species